UACAGAGGGUGCAAGCGUUGUUCGGAAUUAUUGGGCGUAAAGCGCGUGUAGGCGGUGUGACAAGUCGGGUGUGAAAGCCCUCAGCUCAACUGAGGAAGUGCGCCCGAAACUGUCGUGCUUGAGUGCCGGAGAGGGUGGCGGAAUUCCCCAAGUAGAGGUGAAAUUCGUAGAUAUGGGGAGGAACACCGGUGGCGAAGGCGGCCACCUGGACGGUAACUGACGCUGAGACGCGAAAGCGUGGGGAGCAAACAGG
rnacentral:rRNA from 1 species